GUGGGGAAUAUUGGACAAUGGGGGAAACCCUGAUCCAGCAAUGCCGCGUGAGUGAUGAAGGCCUUCGGGUUGUAAAGCUCUUUUAUCAGGGAAGAUAAUGACGGUACCUGAUGAAUAAGCUCCGGCUAACUUCGUGCCAGCAGCCGCGGUAAUACGAAGGGAGCUAGCGUUGUUCGGAAUUACUGGGCGUAAAGGGCGCGUAGGCGGCCUUGUAAGUUAGAUGCGAAAGCCCCGGGCUUAACCUGGGAACUGCAUUUAAGACUGCAAAGCUAGAGGACGAGAGAGGAAAGUGGAAUUAUGAGUGUAGAGGUGAAAUUCGUAGAUAUUCAUAAGAACACCAGUGGCGAAGGCGACUUUCUGGCUCGUAUCUGACGCUAAGGCGCGAAAGCGUGGGGAGCAAACAGGAUUAGAUACCCCAGUAGUCC
rnacentral:rRNA from 1 species